rnacentral:lncRNA from 1 species
AGAUAACGAUACAAGGAAUCAAAGAAACAAAGAGUUGGUUCUUUGAUAAAAUCAACUAGACAUACAAACCCUUAUCCAAAAUAACUAUAAGACCAAGAGAAAAUAUCCAAAUGAACAAAGUCAGAAACAAAAUGGGGACAUAAUGACAAGCCCAGAGGAAAUCCAGAGACUCAUAACACAAAUUAAAGCCGUCUACUCCACCAAACUGAAGAAAAAUAAAUGAAAUGGAUAAUUUUAUCAAUAGGUACCAAACUCCAAAGGGAAAUCAACAUCAGAUUAAAAAAUAGCCUUAUUUAACUCCUAGUUAAAUAAAAGCACUCAUUAAAACACUCCCAACAACAACAACAAAACUAGCAAAUAAACCAAACCAAACUAAAACAUAAAACAAACAAAAAACAAUAACAACAAAAAAGCACAUGGCCUGCUCAGAAUUCUAUGACUUUUAAAGAACAGAUAAAUUAAGAGUUCUCAAAUUAUUCCACAAGAAACAGAAUGACAUCACCCAAUUUAUUUUGUGAGGCCACAGUUACCCUGACACUCAAUGCAAAUUAAGAUGCAACUAAAAAGGAGAAUUACAGAACUUUCUCUAUGAACAUACAGGCACGGAUACUCAUAAAACACUUGCAAACAGAAACACACGAGGAAGAUCAACAACCAUGAUAAAGCAGGUUUUGUAUCAGAGUUGAAAAGAUAGUUCAUUAUACAAAAAUCAAUAAAUAUAAUCCACUUAAUGAAACAAACUGGAAAAAAGACAUAAUCAUUGCAUUACAUGCAGAAAAAGCUUUUGACAAAAUCCAACAUCAUUUCACCAUAAUAUGGAAAGAGUCUUCCUUAGAACUUUUCAUGAACCAAAAAUAAAUGACCUUUCCAAAGGAAUAACAUGAAGGAAAGAAAAUACCACAAAUAAGAAUGUCUCUUUUCCUCUAAGAAUUUCACAUUGCUUUGCGAGAUGUGAGACUCAUUCACACACAGCUAAGACACAUGAAAAGUUGUUUUCACAGGAAAUCUGAGGAGGGUCAAGGAAGACAGAAAACAACAACAAUAACAACAACAACCACAAACUAUCCUGACCCACAGAAUUGAGACUGCUGUAUAUCUCCACCAGGAGUUCUCCAAAAAAAAAAAAGCCCUGAGAACCGGAUCUAGGCAUUCCUACUGCAAGAUGUCCAUAGUCAUAGAACUCAAAUAUCAACAAACAAUGAAAUAAAAAAUAACAGUUUUCUACAGAUGCAUGGGUCCAAUGUCUUUCUUGAACCGAGAAGAUAUUUUUCUGAUGAAAAUGAAUAAUCAUAAUUAUUCAAAAGGUGCUUUCUAAACUUGUAUUAAUCUAUAAUGAGUUUUCUAUCAAAACAAAAACAAAAAACCAGUGUACCCUUAUAUUUGCCUCUCACAGCAUACAGAAAGUACUGGCUGGAACUUGUAAGUUCUCAAAGGAACUAUGGAAGAAUUGAGGUGCCUAUUAAUAUAUCAAUGUGGACAUUUUUGGCUAGGUGCUCUUUUGGGUCCUGUUCACUUUCUAGGCCAACUCCUUUAUUUUCUCUCCUCUUCCUCAAUACCAGGACCCAUUCUGCUCCUCUUAUGGAUAAGUUCAGUCUGGACCCUUCCAGAUGAACCUUUUCUCACUCAUAAUGGUAGCUAACUAUAUCAGUAGACCUGGGAGACUAGCUCUCUCCUGAGUUUCAGUGGUCAGAGUACUCUCUGCAGGUAAGCUCUCCUCUUGCAGGGAAGAUGUACAGAUAUCUGGUGUUCGAACCUGCCUCCUGGCAGAAGAUGAAGGCCUGAAACAGGGCCUGUCCCAAAAGCUGUGUAGCUUCUGUAGUCCACACUCUCACAUGCGCAGACUAGUCUCUGAGGGAUCUGGGAACCCAGAUGGCUUCCCCAGGUGAUCUGACAAAGCCCUCCUGGGUGAAGUGGACACCUCUCCUCUGGCAGGGAAGGUGCCCAGAUGUCUGGAGCCC